GUGCCAGCAGCCGCGGUAAUACGUAGGGGGCGAGCGUUGUCCGGAUUCAUUGGGCGUAAAGCGCGUGUAGGCGGUCUGGUAGGUCUCGUGUCAAAUCCUGCGGCUCAACCGCAGUCCGCACGGGAAACCACCUUACUAGAGUCCGGAAGAGGAGAGCGGAAUUCCAGGUGUAGCGGUGAAAUGCGCAGAUAUCUGGAAGAACACCAGUGGCGAAGGCGGCUCUCUGGGACGGUACUGACGCUGAGACGCGAAAGCGUGGGGAGCGAACAGGAUUAGAUACCCUGGUAGUCCACGCUGUAAACGAUGGGCGCUAGGUGUGGGGGGUGUCGACUCCCUCCGUGCCGAAGCUAACGCAUUAAGCGCCCCGCCUGGGGAGUACGGCCGCAAGGCUAAA
rnacentral:rRNA from 1 species